ACAGGGAUUGCCCUAGUAACGGCGAGUGAAGCGGCAACAGCUCAAAUUUGAAAUCUGGCGUCUUUGGCGUCCGAGUUGUAAUUUGCAGAGGGCGCUUUGGCAUUGGCAGCGGUCCAAGUUCCUUGGAACAGGACGUCACAGAGGGUGAGAAUCCCGUACGUGGUCGCUAGCCUUUACCGUGUAAAGCCCCUUCGACGAGUCGAGUUGUUUGGGAAUGCAGCUCUAAAUGGGAGGUAAAUUUCUUCUAAAGCUAAAUACUGGCCAGAGACCGAUAGCGCACAAGUAGAGUGAUCGAAAGAUGAAAAGCACUUUGGAAAGAGAGUUAAAAAGCACGUGAAAUUGUUGAAAGGGAAGCGCUUGCAGCCAGACUUGCCUGUAGUUGCUCAUCUGGGUUUUUACCCAGUGCACUCUUCUAUAGGCAGGCCAGCAUCAGUUUGGGCGGUUGGAUAAAGGUCUCUGUCAUGUACCUCUCUUCGGGGAGAACUUAUAGGGGAGACGACAUGCAACCAGCCUGGACUGAGGUCCGCGCAUCUGCUAGGAUGCUGGCGUAAUGGCUGUAAGCGGCCCGUCUUGAAACACGGACCAAGGAGUCUAACAUCUAUGCGAGUGUUUGGGUGUCAAGCCCGAGCGCGUAAUGAAAGUGAACGGAGGUGGGAACCUUUCGGGGUGCACCAUCGACCGAUCCUGAUGUCUUCGGAUGGAUUUGAGUAAGAGCAUAGCUGUUGGGACCCGAAAGAUGGUGAACUAUGCUUGAAUAGGGUGAAGCCAGAGGAAACUCUGGUGGAGGCUCGCAGCGGUUCUGACGUGCAAAUCGAUCGUCAAAUUUGGGCAUAGGGGCGAAAGACUAAUCGAACUAUCUAGUAGCUGGUCC
rnacentral:rRNA from 1 species